GUGCCAGCAGCCGCGGUAAUACAGAGGGUGCUAGCGUUGUUCGGAAUUAUUGGGCGUAAAGCGCGUGUAGGCGGCCAGGCAAGUCGGGUGUGAAAGCCCUCAGCUUAACUGAGGAAGUGCGCCCGAAACUACUUGGCUUGAGUACCGGAGAGGGUGGCGGAAUUCCCGGUGUAGAGGUGAAAUUCGUAGAUAUCGGGAGGAACACCAGUGGCGAAGGCGGCCACCUGGACGGCUACUGACGCUGAGACGCGAAAGCGUGGGGAGCAAACAGGAUUAGAAACCCUGGUAGUCC
rnacentral:rRNA from 1 species